rnacentral:lncRNA from 1 species
GAGGCUCAGAGAGGGCACGUGAGGGCCCCAUAGCCACACAGCAAACAGAAGGAAAGUAACUGCUGAAGACGCCCCCAGGGACCCAGCCGGAGGCCCCAGUCCAGCAGGGGCAGAGAGCCCGGGUGGAAAGGGCCAGGAAAGACGGGUGGGCAGGUCGGCUACUGCAACCAUGUAAGAGCUGACAGCUGCACGACGUGCUUCGGGAGGCAGCAGACCCAGGGGCGAAGCCCAAGGCCUCCGGAGCCAGCCUGGUGGAGUUCAAAUUCCAGCUGUAGCACUGAACUAACCAGGUGACUCCGGCUGAUUCUUUACUCCAGCGCCCCUCCUUCCCUGCAUCCAGAGUGAGCCUUUCAAACAAACUGGAUGGUUUCCCUCGUCUCUUCUCAACCUCCUGACAGCU